rnacentral:rRNA from 1 species
CUACGGGGCGCUGCAGUGGGGAAUAUUGCACAAUGGGCGCAAGCCUGAUGCAGCAACGCCGCGUGAGGGACGACGGCCUUCGGGUUGUAAACCUCUUUUAGUAGGGAAGAAGCGAAAGUGACGGUACCUGCAGAAAAAGCACCGGCUAACUACGUGCCAGCAGCCGCGGUAAUACGUAGGGUGCAAGCGUUGUCCGGAAUUAUUGGGCGUAAAGAGCUCGUAGGCGGUUUGUCGCGUCUGCUGUGAAAUCCCGAGGCUCAACCUCGGGCCUGCAGUGGGUACGGGCAAACUAGAGUGUGGUAGGGGAGAUUGGAACUCCUGGUGUAGCGGUGGAAUGCGCAGAUAUCAGGAAGAACACCGAUGGCGAAGGCAGAUCUCUGGGCCAUUACUGACGCUGAGGAGCGAAAGCGUGGGGAGCGAACAGGAUUAGAUACCCCAGUAGUC